rnacentral:hammerhead_ribozyme from 1 species
GUACUGCUGAUGAGUCCCAAAAUAGGACGAAACGGCCGCCCAGUGC